GGAAGCAAAGGUCAGAGGGACUGGCCGUAGGCACAUGUGAAGCUUUCUUGCCAAUCUUCAUUGAACUCACACUUCAAAAGUCAUGGUUUUCUCUUUGUUUUAUUGUAAUUUUCUGUUUUAUUAUAAAGAAGAUUGCAGAAAAGAGGCAGAAUAGGAGAGCUGAAAGACAAAAAAAGAGUAUCUAAACAACAGAGGACACAUACUGGAAUCUCUGGAGCUCAUCCCUUCAGAGGGCCCUUCCCAGAAGAACUGUAUCUCCACUUCCUCGGUUCUCUGGAAUAAAUUACAACCUUAUGACUCAUGAGUCCAAACAGGACAGUCUUUACGUCUACCCAUCUUAUGACUGAUGUGGCUCUCAAGGAACAAUAAAACCUAAGCAAAUUAUGGGAACAAGCAUUUAUCAACCACGCAAAUGAAGCCAUUCUUUGUAUGUAUUAUGCAUCUCAAUCUCCAUAUAUGGUUAUCAACGUAAUAAUUCAAGUAAAGAGUUUUUCUACACCAGGAGUUCCAAAAUCAAGCUACAUUCAAAGAGAGAAACAACACAUUGGAUACUCAAGUUAUGAACCGUGAGAAGAGUCAGAAAUUCCUUAUAGGAUAGAACAUGUGCAAUUGAAAUCUAAUAUUAAGUUUUCUGUGGAAAAACACAUAUAUGUGUACUAUAUGGCUAUCUGAUCAUUUUAAAAACAUACUCAGAAUACUUUAAUAAAACACUGUGAGUAUGAAUUAUCUAUGCUUUAAACACUUUACUUCUCUUUCUGCAUUUAUGCCAUCACUUCUUAUCUCUUCAUACCUUGAACUUUUUCUUUUCCCCCUCUCUCACUCUAUGACUCCUGAACAAAACUGUCAUUUCCAAUAUCUAACUUCAUUAACUAAGUAGGGAUGGCAGAUGUUUAUUAUCACCAAAAUGCAGCAUAACAUUUGCAAACUGGUUUAUGACAUGCAUCUUUAUAAAGUGCUCAGUGAAAUGCAUAAACGAUUGAUUGAAAAUUGGUCAAAGAGAAUAUUGAGUACUUUAUUAGUUACUGGCUAAAGCUAAGGAGUUACAGAAAAGCAUCAUAUCUAAAUAAGGAGUUUUAUUUGAAAUAUGUAAUUUCAUUAUGAAUAAAUUCCAUAAAAUAAACUAAGAAUUGCUAAA
rnacentral:lncRNA from 1 species